AUUCCAGCUCCAAUAGCGUAUAUUAAUGUUGUUGCAGUUAAAAAGCUCGUAGUUGGAUUUCUGGUCGGAACGCUGGUCCGGCUCCGCAAGGGGUCGUGUAUUGGUUUCUCCUGCCAUCCUCAGGGGGAGCUGCACUGGCAUUUGUUUGUCGGUGUGGUCACGCCUGUCGUUUACUGUGAACAAAUUAGAGUGUUCAAAGCAAGGUGUACUUGAAUACAUUAGCAUGGAAUAAUAAGAUAGGACUUUGGUGGUUCUUUUUAGAUAUUUUGUUGGUUUGCACGCCAAAGUAAUGAUUAAUAGGAGCAGUUGGGGGUAUUCGUAUUCAAUUGUCAGAGGUGAAAUUCUUGGAUUUAUAGAAGACGAACUACUGCGAAAGCAUUUACCAAGGAUGUUUUCAUUA
rnacentral:rRNA from 1 species